AGCAGCCGCGGUAAUUCCAGCUCCAAUAGCGUAUAUUAAAGUUGUUGCAGUUAAAAAGCUCGUAGUUGAAUUUCGGGGUUAGCAGGUCGGUCGUGCCAUCGGUAUGAACUGGUCUCGCUGAUCCCUCCCUCUUGACGAACUGUGAUGCCAUUAAUUUGGUGUCGCAGGGAAUCAGGACUGUUACUUUGAAAAAUUAGAGUGCUUAAAGCAGGCUCACGCUUGAAUACAUUAGCAUGGAAUAAUGAAAUAGGACGUUUGAUCCUAUUUUGUUGGCUUCUAGGAUUGACGUAAUGAUUAAUAGGGAUAGUUGGGGCAUUAGUAUUCAAUUGUCAGAGGUGAAAUUCUUGGAUUUAUUGAAGACUAACUACUGCGAAAGCAUUUGCCAAGGAUGUUUUCAUUAAUCAAGAACGAAAGUUAGGGGACCGAAGACGAUCAGAUACCGUCGUAGUCUUAAACCAUAAACUAUGCCGACUAGGGAUCGGAUGAUGUUAAUUUUUUAAUG
rnacentral:rRNA from 1 species